GAGACAUUGGUGUAGCAGUAGCACUGCACUCUGUGAAAGUGCCAGCGAGGGUGCGAAUCCCUCAUGUCUCC
rnacentral:tRNA from 1 species